rnacentral:rRNA from 1 species
GAUGAACGCUAGCGGCAGGCUUAACACAUGCAAGUCGAGGGGCAACAGGGGUAGCAAUACCUGCUGGCGACCGGCAAACGGGUGCGGAACACGUACGCAACAUACCUUUUACUGGGGCAUAGCCUUCUGAAAAGAAGAUUAACACCCCAUAAUAUCAAUGACUGGCAUCAGUUGAUGACUAAAAUUUAUUGGUAAGAGAUUGGCGUGCGUCCUAUUAGCUAGNGGUAUGGGUAAUGGCCUACCAAGGCGACGAUAGGUAGCUGGUGUGAGAGCACGACCAGCCACACGGGCACUGAGACACGGGCCCGACUCCUACGGGA